AAGUCGUAACAAGGUUUCCGUAGGUGAACCUGCGGAAGGAUCAUUAGUGAAUUUAUAGCGUACCUGUUUAACCAGGGCGUGACCUCUCACGUUUCAAACUCUGUGCACUUCAAUUGGGCUGGCCUUGAGCAAAGGGCGAUUUCGCUUGGAACUUGGCGCGGGCUCAUCUUAUAUGCAAAACAUUUAAAGUCACUGGAUGUCAAAGAAAUUGAAUAACAAAAAAAAAAACAAAAAAAAACUUUCAACAACGGAUCUCUUGGCUCUC
rnacentral:misc_RNA from 1 species